rnacentral:lncRNA from 1 species
GUUGUAGAUUUUAAGUUUUGUGUUUCUAGCAAGGGAUGACGAUUUCCAGAUUGGUCUGAGAAGACAAAAGGAUGUUCUAGCCUUACUCAGUCUUGCUUUGAUGUCUUUGGUGGUCCCAUUAUCACUGCUUAUUACGCUGCCUAGGUAUGUAAAGUCUUCUAUUUCCUCGAUGUUUAAGGAUCCAAUCUUUAUUGGAAUUUUAUUUGAUUGGUCGUUGACUGACAUGACUUUCGUUUUCUCGAUGUUUAUUUUGAGCCCAAGUUUGUUUGACAUAGUAUUCAGUCUUGAUGUUUUCUUUUGCAUUUGUGCUUUGUUGC